ACGUGGACCUUAUUUCCCUCAGGUUGGCUGGAAUCCAUUUGAUUGGUUUUCACUCAAGCAGAAGAACCAAUUUUGCCAAAGCUUGUUCCAGAAAGCAUGGCCUCUCUUUUCCCGGCAAAGGGGAAUAGUUACCGGAGGACUGAGUCAAUGUAGCGAGAUCUGAGUUACUACUCACCGGAAGGCCAACAAAUCUUUAUCUUCCUUCAGCCCUUCACUCUCUUUAUCUCUGCAAACGAUUUGCAAGGGAAAGCCAAACACAAAGAUAGAGGGUUUUGUAUAUUUGCAGAGCUCCUUGAUCAGUUGAUUUCUUAAUUUCUUCUCGGCCAUUCUCUCUUUUUAUGCUAUAUCUGAGUAUCGUAUCAAGAGCUGUACAUAGUUUCUUAUUCUCCACGAAGGAUAAUUGAAGCUGUGGAGUGAGAUAGAAGCAACGACCGAGGAGCAAAACUGGAAAUAAUGGUGUAAUUAACUCCCACAGCCCGUUAAGAAUCGAGCCUGGGAACUAGCACAUGAGCUAACGGAAAAUCAAGAGAAUGACGUGGCAACGUCGUCUUGAUGUUUGGUACUUUUUGGAGGGUUAAAAAUUCGAUGAUGGGGUCUCCUGCUUUAACGGCAAAAGUACGAUGUUAGGGCUUUGGCGUUAACAUCGAGAAAGUGGUUUUGGUUCUCUCUUAUCCAUUCAAUCGCAAAAUUUCACGACGUGAAGGAACCGUCACUGACGUCGUUACUAGUCCCCGUUUCUAGAGUAGCAAUCUAGUGCGGGCACGCUCUUCAAUUGGUAGUUGGUUGGUGGAUGCGGUGGAUUGCGAUCGUCAUCAACAAGCGGCGGUAUGACGUGGUACGUAUAUGAUUAAAUAAUAUGCAAUAUCAUUGAUUAUUUAAAAACAAAAGGUUUAUUUUGGCACAGAAAAGGGAGCCUUUAAAGCAAAAAGUAAUUUACUUCCAUCACAAUGUUUUUAAAACAUAAUUACAGUCAUUCUAAUAGACAAAGAUUUAAGUUAAAUAUAUUC